rnacentral:rRNA from 1 species
UACAGAGGUCUCAAGCGUUGUUCGGAAUCACUGGGCGUAAAGGGUGCGUAGGCGGCACGGUAAGUCAGAGGUGAAAUCCCGGAGCUCAACUUCGGAAUUGCCUCCGAUACUGCCGUGCUUGAGGACUGGAGAGGAGAUUGGAAUUCACAGUGGAGCAGUAAAAUGCGUAGAUAUUGUGAGGAACACUAGUGGCGAAGGCGAAUCUCUGGACAGUUCCUGACGCUGAGGCACGAAGGCCAGGGGAGCAAACGGG